rnacentral:lncRNA from 1 species
AGACAGUCUGUUUUUAGUCUCCUCAGGGUUUAGAGUCUGUUCUGUCUGUAUAAAAGCUGUCAAUCGUUAAAGUCCUUUUUAACUUUUUGCUCAUUUUGUCAGAGAAGAAUCAGAGACAAACUAGCAAAGAAAAAAAAAAGGAAAAAAACCCCAAAUGGAAUCUGCUUUUUUGGGGGAGGGGCUGGGUGGCGUUACCGAGCUUCCUCUACAGACUGCGGGGGCAGCAGCGAGGCACUAGCAGGACUGUGCUGCGCCUGCCCUCUGAGACUCUGGGAGCGUGCUGAGACGCUGUGGGUGGCCGGUCUCAAGGACUCCAGCUGUUUGGGGUUAUAUUCUUCACCCCCGGUGUUUUUAGGUUCUCUGCUGGGCUACUGAUUUGCUGCCAGGGCAAAGUAUCCAAUCCUGUAGUGAAGCUCUCCCUGCAGAGACGGCUGAGAUCACACCCCAACCCGCUCCAGUCUGCUCGGCUGUGAGCUGCCUGCCGAGCUCCUGCUGCCGCUGCCCUCAGUCUGUGCCCGAUCUAAAACUGUCCUGCCCUCGAGCAAAAACAGACCUUUCCUGGGGAUUCUCAAGGAUGUCUUCUCUUGAACCAGAGCUGUUUCCUGCCUGUUAGAGGAGCCAAAGAAGUUUCUUCAUUUUAUCUAUUAAUCUUUACAAUUAAAUUACCCUAUUGACAAAUAUUGCAUCUUCAUAAGAGUUCAGCUCAAUUAUCACAAAGAUGUUAUAGCUUGGGCCCAAACAAAAGAAGGAAAUUCAUCAUAGCAUGGGUUAGAACUAUUGUUAACUGCCCAACUCCCAAAAUCAUUUUGAGUAAGAUAUUCAUUUUAAGGUACAGAUGUAUGUCAGGUUGAUUUUUUAAAAAAUUAUAUGACUCUUCCAGUUAUUUUAAAUGAAUGCAAAAUAUUGUUUCUUCAUGUCAGGUUUAUGUGGAUUGUACAUAUUCUAGCUAAAAUUAAAACCACAAUAGUAAAGGUAAAAUAUAUGUUCACUUUUAAUUUGG